UGUCUAAGUGACCCCAAACUUUUGAACGGUAGUGUACAUUUCCUUUUCCAGCGAAUCACGGGGAUCUGGGCCUGGUCUGGUGUCUGUAGUAUAUCCCUCGUGUCCAACUAAUUGAAGAACUCCUCGUACAAUUUGAGCUUUGAUGUCAGCUGGAUGCUGUACCACCAACUGUAGAAAUGUGAAAAUAUGGGACAGCUUCGAUGCCUCUUCUUGACAACACUGCACCCCAGCUGGGACGUUUGGGGUGAGACGUACCUCCUCAACGGUGGGAUAAGGAGGGUCCAACACUCCUGCUGCCCUGGCCCAAACAGACACUAGGACAACUGGACAACCCUCUCCAAGAUCCUGAUGGUCUGUCCCAUCCGUCCUCAUAUACUACUAUGUUUUCAUUUCUACAUAUCUAGAGUUCGGGACAAUUUGGGGGAAAACUUGGGAAUGCUACUAGGACGAAUGGAUGGCAUUCCCAAAGACUGCCACAGCUAAAUGGAUGAGAGCGAGACUGGAUACCGCAUAUGAGCUCCCUGCCAACCACCAAGACAUGGCCUACCUCCCAGAGAGGGAAAGAAGCAGGGGAAGAAGUGAAAAGAAGGAGAGAAGAAGAGGACCACUCCUCUCAGCUUAUCAGUCUGGGGUUCUCUCUCUCUCUCUCUCUCUCUCUCCCUCUCUCCCUCUCCUAUUCCUCCCUCUGCCUCUACCCUUUCUCUCUUAUUAUCUCUUUAUCUCUCUCUCCUAUUCCUCUUUCUCCCUCUGCCUCUCCCCCUCUCUCUCUCUCUCCUGUUCCUCUUUCUCCCUCAGCCUCUUCCCUCUCUCUCUUAAUCUCUAUAUCUUCCCAUUCACUUCUACUUUCUUCUUCUCUUUCCUCUCUCCCCUUCUCGCUCUCUCCCACCACCCCCUUUCUCCUUCCAUCCCCCCUCUCCCCCUCCUUCCCCCUAUCUCCAGCAGCCUCCACAGAUAUUCAUUAUCUUCUUCUGUGUACUGAGACAUUCGUAAUCUAAUGUUCCUCCUCUCGUCUGCAGCCACAAAUCUAGAUGAUAAGAUUAUCCUAUCCUCUCCCAGUCAUCAUCUCAAACUUUUGUUGACCAAUUUCAUUAAACAGAGUGAAAAAGCUGAAGUUUGUGUUAAAGGGAAAGUUCAGCGAAAUUGCAUAUUUAGAUAUUUGUUUCCUCACCUUGAAAACAGUUUCUCAAAUAUCUAAUUUUGCUGAACUAUCCCUUUUUUAGAAGUUCCCAGGCAAAACCCUCCACCACCAACAUGCUGUGUCUUAUUACAAAACUACAAAAUGGCCGCCAAUGUUAGCUUGUUGGGUAACGUUGUAGUUCUAACCAGAUACAGUGUUACGGUGUUAGCCUAGUUUUCUUUUUUGUAAAAUCUUGCUCCCUUCCGAGCACCUAUAUUUCCAGCUAGGGAGGUGAGUAUACAUUCUCCAUGUUGUUUUAUACAAGAAAGGUAAAGUGAAAGUACAUAGUAGUUUAUUGGAAUUAGUUUUCUAUAUAUAUAUAUAUGAUUAUUAUUUUUGACUGGUAUUAGAACACUUAUAUGAAGAUAUCUAUGUAUACAAAAUAAUAAAGAUUCUUCUUU
ensembl:lncRNA